ensembl:lncRNA
GUGUGAAGCUAUUUGGAACCUAAACCAGCCUUCCUAAACACGUUGAACAAAUUCCUCAAAGUCAGUUUCAGGGGACGCAUACAAUUGCACGUUCUGUUCAUCCCAUUUCCACCUGAUGCUUGUUUUCCCAGGGGGAAUGCUACCGUGACGGAGGUGGGCGUUGAAACAAAUUUAUAGGGGCUGAAGGGGUAAGAAACCUUCAGCUCUGGGGCAGGUGAGAACUCUGCAGGAAAGCCAUGGCUACAAAACUACUGACUGCAAUGCUGCUGUUUGCCCACAUCUGUGAAGGAGAACUGAUAAGAAAAUCGACUGCCCAUAAUUUCCUGCACAAAAUUCGACAAAGACGCGGAUUUGAGUGUUCCCCUGGAGGCUGCAGCGCAGAAGUCAGCGAGGCGGGAGAGCUGGCAGAAGUGGAAGAGGGAAAUGAGAGUCUGAGCUUAAUGCAGAACGGAGCUGCUGCCAACAAAGAUACAAUCACUAAACCAACUGAGGAAGCUGAGGUUUUUGAAGGAUCUGGAUUGGAGCCAAAACGGAAACCAUUUCUUUUUUGAAACGCAAAUAGACAAAUGUCAGCCUUAUGAAGCUAUAUCGCUGCUUUCAAUUACAGUCGGUAAAUCAAAGUAGAUUUUUCAACAAGUAAAAAUACAAAUUUUCCUUUUUUUUUUUUUUUGGUGACGCUAUUAAAAUGAAAUAGGAGUAUAAUUUUGUAGACAAUCAAUUGAAAUUAACAAGUAAAAUCUUAUUUUAAAGCAUGAAUAUUAAGAAAUUUGAUAGCAAAAAUUAGUGUGUGCGAUGAAAACUGCAUAUAUCUGCGUUUAGUCUGUAAUUAAGACAUCUUUUUUCAGACAAAUUAAAAAUAGCGCUUAGUCUAAAAUUUAACUGAAAAUAGAAAACUAUAGUCAGAGGUAAAUUAAGAAAGAUGAUUCAUGUAUAAAACAAUCCAUUGUUAAGUGUGUUCCUGACACUGGGACCUUCUUUUUUUCAAGCUUGUGGUGUAUUUUCUUAAUGUCUGUUUUUGCAAUUCACAAAUGAUUCAUUCAGUUUCUGCUACCUACUUCUUAUAUUACAUUUUUCUUUGAACAUUUUAUUUAAAAAAUGCAUUAAAACAAAUUUGCUUUGUGAACAACAGGCCACCAGAGGAAUUUGUGUUUUGUCACAUGCUGAUCAUGAGUUUGUCAUUGCUUUCCCCACACAUUACACUCUACAAUAAAACACAGGAAGACAGAAAUUUGAAUUUUAAUCUGAUUAUUGAUGGGGCUUUGGUCUCAAAUAGGGAUAUUGCACAAGUAGAGUUUUUGAAAUUGAUCUGACGGGUACAAUACUUUAAAAUUCCAUCUAAAACUGUGCCUUUGUUAAACUAAACUUAGUUUUAUUAGUGUUAUUAUUAAAUCAAAUCAACCAUAAGUCAUAACAUUACAUAUGACGAAUGGUUAAUCUGGUAAUUAUGUUAUUGUAUGUUUACAAUAAAGUCCCUGAAAAUAUGUUAAAGUCUUAUUUCAUGUUUAUGUUGUGGAUCUUUUUUUCUUUCAUUUUUUAUAUAGUUGAUGUCAUUGCACACGCAUUUGAAACUAGAAUUUGGUCAAUCUCAAACGGUAAUCCUGAACAUACACAGACGACGUUCCCCGCCCCCCUUUUACCAUUUGGUGUUUCCCGUUUCCGACGACCCUGAAGGCAGCAUUUCAAACGACAGGACUAGCUGUUACGGCGUAGAAAUAAGUAUCAAGAAACAGCGGCGGUGUUGCU